rnacentral:rRNA from 1 species
CAAAAACAUCUCUUUUUGUAAUAAAAAGUAGGCUCUGCUCAGUGAUGAAAUUUUAAAUAGCCGCAGUAUUUUGACUGUGCUAAGGUAGCAUAAUAAUUUGUUCUAUAAUAGAGAGCUGGAAUGAAUGAGUUGACGUUAUUAAAACUUUUUUUGAAAAAAUUUAGAAUUUGAUAUUCUCAUCAAAAAGUGAGACUUUCUAAAGGGACGAUAAGACCCUAUAAAACUUUACUGAUUAGUUUUUACGAAUUUAGGAUUUAGUUGAAAAGAUUAUUAGUUGAGCUGGGGCGGCACGAAAUAUUCUUUUCGAAAUUAAACAUAAUACAUGAAAUUAAAGAUCUUAAAUUAAGAUUUAGAAUAAGUUACUUUAGGGAUAACAGCAUAAUUUUUUCGUAUAGAUCUUAUAGAAGAAAAAGACUUAUGACCUCGAUGUUGAAUUGAGGGGCUUUCUUUAAGCAGCAAUAAAGAGAAGGGGUCUGUUCGACCUUUGAUUCCUCACGUGAUCUGAGUUCAG